rnacentral:rRNA from 1 species
GGUUUUUCCUCUGUUUUCUGCCCUCUGGGUGGUGAGCAAGGGUGGCCAUGCCCCUAUUUUAUGGACGAGUGUAAUUGAGUGUGCUUGUGAUUAAUARUAUCUUUAUACAACUUUCAGCAACGGAUCUCUUGGCUCUCGCAUCGAUGAAGAACGSAGCGAAAUGCGAUAAGUAAUGUGAAUUGCAGAAUUCAGUGAAUCAUCRAAUCUUUGAACGCACCUUGCACUCCUUGGUAUUCCGAGGAGUACGCCUGUUUGAGGGUCAUAUGGAAGGUAACRCUACUUGGGAAUUGUGAUGAUUCCCAGGAAGCUGUCUUGAAGUGGGGAGUGCUUGCCUUUCAUGUUAUGUUGUCUGUCAGGUAGKUGAGCCGUUCCUUUUGUGUCCUGUGCRCACCCUGUCUGGGCUUUUUAGCAUGGUUGGGUAGGCUUCUCUGAAAUGCAUUUGUGAGUGUCACUUGUGGCUUGCUUUGUAKGCGUCAUAUUUAUUUAUGUGCCGGCGAGUCUGCUUGUGUGGCCUUGCUGUCUAACCAAUGUCUGAAGAGACAUAUUGGUAAGUCUGACCUCUAAUCACGUGGGACUACCCGCUGAACUUAANNAUAUCAAUAAGCGGAGGA